rnacentral:rRNA from 1 species
UACGUAGGGACCAAGCGUUGUUCGGAUUUACUGGGCGUAAAGGGCGCGUAGGCGGAUCUUUAAGUUGGGGGUGAAAGCCCAGGGCUCAACCCUGGAAUUGCCUUCGAUACUGGAGAUCUUGAGACCGGAAGAGGUAAGUGGAACUGCGAGUGUAGAGGUGAAAUUCGUAGAUAUUCGCAAGAACACCAGUGGCGAAGGCGGCUCACUGGCCCGAUACUGACGCUGAGGUGCGAAAGCGUGGGGAGCGAACAGG